AAGUCGUAACAAGGUUUCCGUAGGUGAACCUGCGGAAGGAUCAUUACAUUCAGUAGCCUAGCUACUUGUUUAUACCCUUGUUUUUUUGCGUACCUAUUGUUUCCUCGGCGGGGCUUGCUCGCCGAUUGGACAAAAUCUAUAACCUUUUUAAAUCUUCAAUCAGCGUCUGAAUUAUACAUAAUAAUUACAACUUUCAACAACGGAUCUCUUGGUUCUG
rnacentral:misc_RNA from 1 species